rnacentral:rRNA from 1 species
UACGUAGGGUGCGAGCGUUGUCCGGAAUUAUUGGGCGUAAAGGGCUCGUAGGCGGUUUGUCGCGUCGGGAGUGAAAUCCACUGGCUUAACUGGUGGCUUGCUUUCGAUACGGGCAGACUGGAGGUAUGCAGGGGAGAACGGAAUUCCUGGUGUAGCGGUGAAAUGCGCAGAUAUCAGGAGGAACAUCGGUGGCGAAGGCGGUUCUCUGGGCAUGUCCUGACGCUGAGGAGCGAAAGUGUGGGGAGCAAACAGG